UGGAAAUUCCAAAAGUUUGAAAGGCCGCCAUUUUAUCCUCUACCUUAUUUCCAUUGUUCUUCUCUCUCACUGAUCAAUAGCCAAAAAAACCCUAAUAUCAUCACCACUCCUCGCCAACAACCGUCGGCCUUGUCCUCGGGCGACCAAUGGAAGAUGUUCGUGCAACCUACACAAUCAGUAAAGCGCUAGGCCACGACCAAUUUGGCGUGACGUAUCUUGUCACUCACAAAACCACGCACCAACAGUUCGCUUACAAGUCAAUCGCGAUGUGGAAGCUGAUUAACAAGGAUGACAUCGACGAUGUCCGUCGACAGGUCCAGAUCAUGCAUCACCUCACCGGACACCGUAACAUUGUCGAGCUCCAUGGCACCUACGAGCAUCGGCACUCUGUUAACCUAAUCAUGGAGUUGUGCGCCGGCGGGGAGCUAUCAAAAAUAAAUAUCACCCUUUUCAAUGAUCAAUAAAGUUAUUCCUGUUUCUCUCUCACUUCCGUUUCCUUCCCACUUCUCCAGUUUCUGUUCUUCAUCGUUAACCCAAAGACAGGGUAGGGACAAGAAUUUCCAAACAAAACCCACAUGCUCUUCCAUCUAAUCUGAUCUUUUUAUGGGUAUUUUAUUUUCCUUUUUCUUUUGAUUUUGGGAUAAUGGAUUUCGAUCACAUUGAAUGCGUUUCAACAUUGGAUGAAUGAAAUGAGGACGAGAUCCCAUACCAUCAUCAUCGUUAUCAACAUCAACAUCAACAUCGUCAAAACAGCCAUUAAAAUCCCCAGAUUUUAUCAUCAAAACUCACUAUGUUAAUGUCGUUCCUUCCAAAAUUAAUCCCACCCUCAGUGUUUACAAGCUUCUCGAAUGCCCUGUUUGUACCAAUUCAAUGUACCCUCCAAUACAUCAGGUUAGAAUUCGUGGAAAUCUUGAAGUUGGAAAUUAGAAUGAUUGACUUCAAAAUUUCGUCAGACUCUUUGUUCCACUUGUAAAACACUUGUGAACAACAAGUGUCCGACUUGCAGACAAGAACUCGGUGAUAUAGGAUGUCUAGCAUUGGAAAAAGCUACAGAAUCCCUCGAAUUGCCAUGCAAAUACAGCUCACUCAGUUGCCAUGGAAUCUUCCCUUACUACAAUUUUCAAUUGUUUUGGGCAGUAUUUUUUUCUCCAUUUUGAAGCAUUUCAGCUAAGUAUGGCUCUGGUUUAUAUGGCGUUUAUGAGGUUCAUGGGAGAUGAAAGUGAUGCCCGGAGUUACAGUUACAGUUUGGAGGUGGGAGGGAAUGGCCGAACAUAAAUAGACUUAAUAAUGGAAGCUACCAGUGUCAAGGGAAAAUAAGGCUCGAUGCGAUCGUUAAAAAUUCAUAGUAUAAAUGCUUACCUUGAUGACUCUCCUGGACUUCAACAUUCCCAGAUUAUAACAUUAAAAUCAAUAACAGUUCAACUUUCAACACUAAGGAAUGACACGCUUCACUCUUAUUUCAAUUUUUGGUGUCAUUGUGCCUUAUUUUUAUUUACUUUACUUUCUAUUGUAUGACAGGAAGGAUAGUUGGUCUCUUGGAAAAAGUGUAAGUUCUUUCUCUGCACUCCUGCAUGGGAAUGCUUCAGGGCUCUCAGGUCUAAUAUUUGUUGACGAAAUGUCUGUUUUUGUCGAGGUUACACUGAGUUCUUUAGUUGGAAGCAGUCUAUCCAACAAGGCCCCAAAGGUCAGAUUCCCUUAAGGAACAAUGGUACCCAUGCAUUCUUUCAACAAAUAUGUAUAGAGCUCCAAUAUAUCCACAUAAACUCUCAUCCACUGACUAUUUACUCAUUCGCUCUCCAAAGGAAAAGCUCUCAUUAAGACGCAUUGACCGGAUUUACGUUGUUGGUCAACAGGAGCCUCACAUGGAAGUGAUGUCCCCUAUAUCAAAAGGUGUUCAGAUGUAUAAUAUGAAUAGGCUUCUGGUGUCCAUGUAUCGUGAGUUUCGUGCUCUUCAAAAACGUGGCUUGACACCUGCUAUUCGUGCCAAUGAGUUAUCUGCACGGUUUGCAAAUGUAGCUGAAGUUUCUUUAAGAAAGAGGUUAAAGUUAUUGUGUGAUUUUCAGAGGGGUUCAUGGGUUAUGAAGCGAAAUUUUCGUAUUCCAUUAGAGGAUGAGCUUAGAAGAAUGGUGUGUGCUUUUGAAAGCCUGCUAGCUUGAAUGUAAAGACUGAAACUUCUAGGAAUCAGCAUGACUCAUCCAUGUGGUCUCUCCUCUACAAUGAAUUAGCUCUCUGCUGAAGUAAUAGCUUUCGCUGCUGCUUCCCACAUCGAGAGAGAAUUACAAAUAACUCCCUGGAAUUUAAGCAGCAACUUUGUUGCUUGAACAAAUCAGGAUAGAGGAAACAUUGAAACAUUGGAGAUUACAGGUGUUGGUGAUCCAUCUGGUAGAGGAUUAGGAUUUAGCUAUGUUCGAACUGCUCCCAAGGCUCUAGUUUCACAUGCCAUUGUAAAGAAAAAAGUUGCUAUAUAUAAAUCUUGUUUACAGUGAGGCACACAUUAGGUUAUUAAAAAUAUAAGUUUGUGAAUUUAUGUUACAA